GCCCAAGUCGACGCACGUAUUAUUUUGAUUUAAAAAAAAAUCUAGCACCUGAAUGAGUAAUAAUAACAAUAAUUGGCAAAUCAAUAGGAGCAUUUCCAGUAAAUUAUUCAAGCUACCAAAUAAUGUUGGCCAUGCAGUUUAUAGCUAGCUAGCUACUUUGUAACAAUCGAAUGAACACAAUGUGUGUCGCGCUAACAAAAUAAUUCUGAGACCAGUACCGUACAUUUGGCAAUUUGUUUUUUUGGCUACAAAAGUAAAGAAACACAGAGCCUAAUCGCGAGCCCGGGUCGCUGAUGAGAAGCAAACACCAUCUGACAGAGAGAACAUGGAAUAAACCAUGGCCCACAAUAUAAGAUUUUUUGAAGCUCUGGAUAGAUCACAGGCCAGGCGAGAUGGAGGGUACAAGCAGAACUGGAGCUUUUCUCUUUCUGAAGGCAGUGAAGAGCAGAGGAGACACGACAGCACAUCGGUGGUGACCAUGGAGAUGGACGGACAGCAGCACUCCUCCCCAGAGGGACAGAAGUCCCCCGCUCUUAGGCAUUUCUCUUCUGCGGAUCCCCUAAAAACAUAUGAAAACAGGCCAAAUACAAAUAAUCACAUAGGGGCUCUAAACAAACCAGGAAGUGACAAGAGGCUAAGUGACCUCCCAAACAUGGUAGCAACGACGUCACCGAUGCCUAACAGAACGGACUAUUUAAUAGUCAGCCCAACACCAUCUCAAGGAGUUGUUCUACAGGGGAGACCCUUUCAACACACCCACAAUGUUCCUGCUGCAAUGAGGAAACCUGUCCAAAGAAGAGACUACAGCACCACUCAACAGCAGAUCCAAGCAGCAGAAGUAGAGAGUAUCAUCCUCACCUGUCCAGAGAGCCCUGCCAACGACAGCGUGAGCAUCAAAGAGCACAGUCGGAGACCCUUGCUGGAGGGCUGUUGUAGCUUUCCCUCGCAGGUUCAGAGAGUGGAGCCCCUAAAUCCAGAAAGGAACCACACAGUGUGUGGGAAGUGUAGCAA
ensembl:lncRNA